CUACGGGUGGCACCAGUGAGGAAUAUUGCACAAUGGGGGGAACCCUGAUGCAGCAACGCCGCGUGGAGGAUGACGCAUUUCGGUGUGUAAACUCCUUUUAUAUGUCAAGAAAAUGACGGUAGCAUAUGAAUAAGCGCCGGCUAACUCCGUGCCAGCAGCCGCGGUAAUACGGAGGGCGCAAGCGUUACUCGGAAUCACUGGGCGUAAAGGACGCGUAGGCGGGUUGAAAAGUCAGGUGUGAAGGCCUACAGCUUAACUGUAGAACUGCACUUGAAACUCUCAACCUAGAAUAUGGGAGGGGCAGAUGGAAUUAGUGGUGUAGGGGUAAAAUCCGUAGAUAUCACUAGGAAUACCUAAAGCGAAGGCGAUCUGCUGGAACAUUACUGACGCUAAGGCGUGAAAGCGUGGGGAGCAAACAGGAUUAGAUACCCCCGUAGUC
rnacentral:rRNA from 1 species